rnacentral:tRNA from 1 species
GGCCUUAUAUUCAAUAAUGAAUCUAGUCUGCAAUACUGGAGGUGUAAUAAUUUAUGUUACUAAGGCCU